CCUACGGGUGGCAGCAGUGAGGAAUAUUGGUCAAUGGUCGGGAGACUGAACCAGCCAAGCCGCGUGAGGGAGGAAGGUACAGAGUAUCGUAAACCUCUUUUGUCAGGGAACAAAGGCGGGGACGUGUCCCCGGAUGAGUGUACCUGAAGAAAAAGCAUCGGCUAACUCCGUGCCAGCAGCCGCGGUAAUACGGAGGAUGCGAGCGUUAUCCGGAUUUAUUGGGUUUAAAGGGUGCGCAGGCGGUCAGUUAAGUCAGCGGUAAAAGCCCGGGGCUCAACCCCGGCACGCCGUUGAAACUGGCAGUCUCGAGUGGGAGAGAAGUAUGCGGAAUGCGCGGUGUAGCGGUGAAAUGCAUAGAUAUCGCGCAGAACUCCGAUUGCGAAGGCAGCAUGCCGGCUCCACACUGACGCUGAGGCACGAAAGCGUGGGUAUCGAACAGGAUUAGAUACCCCAGUAGUC
rnacentral:rRNA from 1 species